rnacentral:rRNA from 1 species
CCUACGGGUGGCUGCAGUCGAGAAUCAUUCACAAUGGGGGAAACCCUGAUGGUGCGACGCCGCGUGGGGGAAUGAAGGUCUUCGGAUUGUAAACCCCUGUCAUGUGGGAGCAAAUAAAAAAGAAAGUACCACAAGAGGAAGAGACGGCUAAAUCUGUGCAAGCAGCAGCUGGAAUACAGUGGGCUCAAGCGUUGUCCGGAAUCACUGGGCGUAAAGCGUGCGCAGGCUGUUUCGUAAGUCGUGUGUGAACGGCGCGGGCCCAACCCGCGGACGGGACAGGAUACUGCGAGACUAGAGUAAUGGAGGGGGAACCGGAAUUCUCAGUGUAGCAGUGAAAUGCGUAGAUA